GAGUUUGAUCCUGGCUCAGAUUGAACGCUGGCGGCAUGCCUUACACAUGCAAGUCGAACGGUAACAGGUUAAGCUGACGAGUGGCGAACGGGUGAGUAAUACAUCGGAACGUGCCCGAUCGUGGGGGAUAACGCAGCGAAAGCUGUGCUAAUACCGCAUACGAUCUACGGAUGAAAGCAGGGGAUCGCAAGACCUUGCGCGGACGGAGCGGCCGAUGGCAGAUUAGGUAGUUGGUGAGGUAAAGGCUCACCAAGCCUUCGAUCUGUAGCUGGUCUGAGAGGACGACCAGCCACACUGGGACUGAGACACGGCCCAGACUCCUACGGGAGGCAGCAGUGGGGAAUUUUGGACAAUGGGCGCAAGCCUGAUCCAGCCAUGCCGCGUGCGGGAAGAAGGCCUUCGGGUUGUAAACCGCUUUUGUCAGGGAAGAAAAGCUCCGGGUUAAUACCUCGGAGUCAUGACGGUACCUGAAGAAUAAGCACCGGCUAACUACGUGCCAGCAGCCGCGGUAAUACG
rnacentral:rRNA from 1 species